AUCCACCUACGGUACUAUUCCAUAUGAGUUUUCAUAAAUGAAACAAUUAUUCCUAUUUACAGGGCGUUAAUUAUGUUCUAGCAAGUGCUGAGUGCUUUCUAGUCUUGUGGCAACUAUGAGAGCUAUCUGUUUCUACUAUCUUUAUUACAGAUGCAAAUGUAAGGACCAGAGAAUUAGCCAUGAGAUGCUAGAGGCUGUCCUCCAACCAGUAUGGUCUGAUAUCUACAAAGAAUUCAAAAACUAAGGUCGAGAAAACACUUUAAAAGGAAACAUGUAAAUUGUAAUGAAGAUAAAGAAGAAAUGGAAAGCCUCAGAUACAAAGGCAGUGAUUGUUAAUAAAUAACCAUUAACAAAGGUUUCCAGAAAUUAAUCAGCCCAGAUGGGCAUGGCAACCACUUGUGAAGGAAGCCUUCAUAGAAAUGCUUCGCUGCAAGAGUUCUGGGAAAUGCUGGGUGUCAUACACUGGACUUUCAAAGAAAUCUUGCAAGAAAAGAUUUGGCUAAGAGCUUGACCACAGAUGAACAAAUGUAUUGCAGGU
rnacentral:lncRNA from 1 species